AUUGAACGCUGGCGGCAUGCCUUACACAUGCAAGUCGAACGGCAGCACGGGAGCAAUCCUGGUGGCGAGUGGCGAACGGGUGAGUAACAUAUCGGAACGUGCCCAGUAGUGGGGGAUAACCCGGCGAAAGCCGGACUAAUACCGCAUACGACCUACGGGUGAAAGCAGGGGAUCGCAAGACCUUGCGCUAUCGGAGCGGCCGAUAUCAGAUUAGCUUGUUGGUGGGGUAAAAGCCUACCAAGGCGACGAUCUGUAGCUGGUCUGAGAGGACGACCAGCCACACUGGGACUGAGACACGGCCCAGACUCCUACGGGAGGCAGCAGUGGGGAAUAUUGCGCAAUGGGCGAAAGCCUGACGCAGCCACGCCGCGUGAGUGAUGAAGGCCUUCGGGUCGUAAAACUCUGUCGGGAGGGACGAAGGGGCAACCCUGACGGUACCUCGCAAGAAAGCACCGGCUAACUCUGUGCCAGCAGCCGCGGUAAU
rnacentral:rRNA from 1 species